GGCAGUCAAGUCAAAUUCGGCCCCCGCUCCUGUUGUAGCGAGAGCUGGCCCAGAUGGCUGCCACAGGAAGCUUGCAGCUCAUGGGCUCCGGGUCCCCUGCCCUGGGACCCGGGGAUAAGUUUGGCUGCAGACAGUC
ensembl:snoRNA SNORA5C small nucleolar RNA, H/ACA box 5C